rnacentral:rRNA from 1 species
CGGGUGAGUAACGCGUGAGGAACCUGCCUCAAAGAGGGGGACAACAGUUGGAAACGACUGCUAAUACCGCAUAAGCCCACGGCUCGGCAUCGAGCAGAGGGAAAAGGAGCAAUCCGCUUUGAGAUGGCCUCGCGUCCGAUUAGCUAGUUGGUGAGGUAACGGCCCACCAAGGCGACGAUCGGUAGCCGGACUGAGAGGUUGAACGGCCACAUUGGGACUGAGACACGGCCCAG